rnacentral:SRP_RNA from 1 species
ACCAUGCUCAGUGGUGCGUGCCUGUAGUCCCAGCUACUCGGGAGGCUGGGGUGGGAGGACCGCUCGAGCCCAGGAGUUCUGGGCUGUAGUGAGCUAUCCUGAUCAGAUGUCCGCACUAAGUUCGGCAUCAAUAUGGUGACCUCCCAGGAGCGGGGGACCACCAGUUGCCCUAAGGAGGGGUGAACUGGCCCAGGUUGGAAAUGGAGCAGGUCAAAACUCCUGUGCUGAUCAGUAGUGGGAUCGCGCCUGUGAAUAGCCACUACACUCCAGCCUGGGCAACAUAGCGAGACCCCCAUCUCU